CCCGGAAGCUGUACGCCGGCUCCCUUGGCCAAUAAAGCGAGAUGAGCGCCGCAACCCCAGAGUCGGUCACGACUGGACCUAAUGGUCAGGGGUCCCUUUACCUUUACCUUUUAUUGUGCAGAUACUUUGCCAUUGGGAAUCACCCUUAAAAGCACUGACUGCUCUCCUAAACCUCCUUGGGUUCAUUUGCGUGGGUGUCAGAAGUAGAAGCUCAAGAAAAAAGCACACCAAGAAUUCAGGUCAAUAUAAGUUUCAGUGGUGGGAGUGGCCCCUACUCGCAAAUCAAUAGUCAAUUUUAGCAAAAACUAAUCCAUUCAAAAGUAUUCUGACAAGGAUUGCAAACGCAAAUAGAGAUUACAAACUCAAACUCAUAAGGAUAUGUAUAACAAUAAUUCGUUAUUGGCCUGAGUUCUUGGUGUGCUUUUUUCUUGGUAUAUUUAAUAACAAGAACUCCAACUUAUUUAACGUUAGAGGUAGAAACUCAGCUGCUGCAAGAUCAGGACAGGUGAGGGAAGAACCAAUUUGCGGAGCCUCGUCAAAGGGAUGACCUCAUCUAACGGCUCUCAGGCUGAUGAGGCGAUUAAUGUGCAUUUCAGGCUCCGCGCGGCAAUUAGCCGGAAUGAAUAAUUGAACACUUUUUGCAUGAUGACUUUGGAAUACAAAUGUCUCCGACUCUCCCGCCCGGAUCGCGGGGAGGCAAGAGGCCCCUCUACGCUGGGGGGGUGGGAUACAUUGCAUGGCUGUUGAUCUGGGCCUUGUCGUAGUGGCCUGGUGGUCAGAACCCUGCCUUAGGCUAUGGGACGGCCUGUGUAUUGAUCAGCCACCCUGACUGGCUUGCACAAAUCUGACAUGGAGGCUAGAUCCUGCCCGGUCUGUGUGGGGCUUUCUUUGAGCCCCGGCACUUUGCACGGAGGUUGCAUGACUCUGCAUUCAUCCUGAUUUGCUUGCACGUUGACACAUCUUCCUGGCAAUCGUUCGUUCAUCCCACAUUUUGGGGGCGUGUGUGUGUUCAAAUAUUAUAUUUCAGUGUUUCAAAAUAAGGAACGCUCUGUGACUUUCAGUGCAAUCAAAGUACUUUGUCAGUUAUCCAUCUGCCAGAGGGUGAAAACCACGCUGUGCAUUAGAUAAGUCUGUACUUUUGACUGAUCUGCCUUUUGAAAAAAAUUAAAAGGAACAGAUUUGUACGUUCAUAGACUCAUAGAACUGUCAUCUAGUUCAACCCCCUGCAAUGCAGGAAUCAUAGCUAAAGCGUCGUCAUUACAGAACCACAAUUUGUGCUUACAUCUUUAAAAUAAGACAAGCCAAUAGUGUUGCCAGUACAGUGGUGCCCCGCAAGACGAAUGCCUCGCAAGACGGAAAACCCGCUAGACGAAAGGGUUUUCCGUUUUGGAGGUGCUUCGCAGGACGAAUUCUCCUAUGGGCUUGCUUCGCAAGACGAAAAUGUCUUGCGAGUCUAGAGAUUUUUUUUUCGCUUCCCCCCCCCUUUAUCUAAUCUGCUAAGCCUUUAAUAGCCUUUAAUAGCCUUUUAGCAGCUAAUCCCCUAAGCCUUUAAGCCUUUAAUAGCCGCUAAACCGCUAAUAGUGCUAAUCCGUUAAGCCGCUAAUAGGGUUGCUUCGCAAGACGAAAAAACCGCUAGACGAAGACACUCGCGGAACGGAUUAAUUUCGUCUUGCGAGGCACCACUGUACCCAGACCCUGUUUGAACCAAAAGACGUGGGUGGCACUGUGGUCUAAACCACUGAGCCUCCUGGGCUUGCCGAUCAGAAGGUCGGUGGUUUGAAUCCCUGUGAUGGAGUGAGCUCCUGUUGCUCUGUCCCAGCUCCUGCCAACCUAGCAGUUCGAAAGCACACCAGCGCAAGUAGAUAAAUAGGUACCACUGUAACGGGAAUGGAAAUGACAUUUCCAUGCACUCUGGCUUCCGUCACAGUGUCCCGUUGCACCAGAAGUGGUUGAAUCCUGCUGGCCACAUGACCCAGAAAGCUGUCUGUGGACAAAUGCCGGCUCCCUUGGUCUGAAAGUGAAAUGAGCACCGCAACCCCAUAGUCGCCUUUGACUGGACUUAAUGAUCCAGGGGUCCUUUACCUUUACCUUUUUUACCUGUUUGAACAGGCCAAUUGCCCACCUAGCCCCAAAUCCUGUUCUCACAGUGGCCAGCCCAGUGCCCCCAGGAAUCCUGCAAGUAGAAUCCAGACACAACAACACUCUUCCCUCUAGUGAUUCCCACAGGUUGGUACUCUGAUACAUGUGGCCUCUGAUAAAGGUAAAGGGACUCCUGACCA
rnacentral:lncRNA from 1 species